rnacentral:rRNA from 1 species
CCUACGGGUGGCAGCAGUGGGGAAUAUUGGGCAAUGGGCGCAAGCCUGACCCAGCAACGCCGCGUGAAGGAAGAAGGCUUUCGGGUUGUAAACUUCUUUUCUCAGGGACGAAGCAAGUGACGGUACCUGAGGAAUAAGCCACGGCUAACUACGUGCCAGCAGCCGCGGUAAUACGUAGGUGGCAAGCGUUAUCCGGAUUUACUGGGUGUAAAGGGCGUGUAGGCGGGAAAGCAAGUCAGAUGUGAAAACCAUGGGCUCAACCUGUGGCCUGCAUUUGAAACUGUUUUUCUUGAGUACUGGGGAGGCAGACGGAAUGCCUGGUGUAGCGGUGAAAUGCGUAGAUAUUAGGAGGAACACCAGUGGCGAAGGCGGUCUGCUGGACAGCAACUGACGCUGAGGCGCGAAAGCGUGGGGAGCGAACAGGAUUAGAUACCCUUGUAGUC